rnacentral:lncRNA from 1 species
CGUGUUAGUAGAUUUUAGUUGGUUGUAGAAUAUAAUUUGAUUAUUACCUUGAGAAGAGGUUGUUUAAAAAGAUCACUAUAGAAUUUGUAUAACUUUAAUUUCUUUUGAUAGUGGCUUUUAAGAUUGGUUUUGGUUGAUAGUAACUUCUAAAUAUUUAGAGUCACCUUUGUUAGGUAUUGAUGACCUUUGAAAACUUAUUUUGGUUCUUUUAUUUGGUGUUUAGAGCAUAAAUUAUGUAAAUCUUAUAAAAAAAAGGAUUGAAGAAGGGUUUUGGUAGCAAAGGGAGUAAUUAGGGAACCAAUAUAGAUGAAUGGAGAUGAAUAAUGAAAAUCUCCAUUCCUAUUGGUCA